rnacentral:rRNA from 1 species
GAAGGAUCAUUACGGGUUCGAGAGGGGAUCUCCCCCCCCGGUCAAUCCUCCGCUUCGGGGUUCCUCCGGGGUUACCCCAGGCUCGGAAACCGGUGAACCUGGCGCGUCGGCGACACGAGGCUCCCCGACGGGUACCCGCCUGGCCUCUUGGGGCCGUGGGUCAAAGACCUUUCCGUCUUGACGGGGAGGGGCCCCUCCGGGGGUUUGCCGACCCCCCGUUUUUUUUUUUUUCCCUCCAACAUCCUCUUUGUGGUGUCGGACCCUGAAACGAACACGACAAAAAGAGUACAACUCUUAGCGGUGGAUCACUCGGCUCGUGCGUCGAUGAAGAACGCAGCUAGCUGCGAGAACUAAUGUGAAUUGCAGGACACAUCGAUCAUCGACACUUCGAACGCACUUUGCGGCCCCGGGUUCCUCCCGGGGCCACGCCUGUCUGAGCGUCGCUUUGCCAUCGAUCGGGGCCUCCGCGCCCCGCGGCUGGAACGUCGCAGGCCUUCGGGCCUACGUCCUCCUAAGCGCAGACCGUCACGCCACCGUCUCUCGACCCGUGGUCCGAACCUCCGUCUUCCCCUCGUCACCGGGGGGAGGACGGCGCGUCGGGGACCGCGAGGGUCCUCCUCUCGCGGCUGCCGGUGGGUCUGACCCCGACCGCUGCCCGCGUGCGGAGCGCUCCCUCUCACCCCUCGGCGCGAGCGUUCGUCCCCACGACGAGCGACGCGAGCGCGACCCAGCAAUCUCCGAGGCCAGCGCUCCCUCCUCCUCGGACGGGAGCCGGCCGAUCCUCUCACCCUCGCUACGACCUCAGAUCAGACGAGACAACCCGCUGAAUUUAAGCAUAUUACUAAGCGGAGGAA